CGACGACAGACGACGGCAAGCGAGGCGGAGCUAGCAUGGCCGGGGCCGGGGCCGCUGCGCUGUCCCUUCUCCUGCAGCUCGGGGGCCUGGCGCUGGCCGUGGGCGCGGGCGCGGGAGGUGGGACUGUCCCCAAGGAGCCCCCUGGGCAGCAGAUACCUGUCCACUCCUCAGCCCCUGCUGGGGACCCCCAGGAGCAGUGGCUCCCCGUGCGAGAGUGGCUGGGGCGGCUAGAGGCUGCAGUGGUGGAACUCAGAGAACAGAAUAAGGACCUGCAGAUGAGGGUGAGGCGGCUGGAGUCCUGUGAGUGCCACCCUGCAUCUCCCCAGUGCUGGGGGCUGGGGCGUGCCUGGCCCGAGGGGGCGCGCUGGGAGCCUGACCCCUGCACAGCCUGCGUCUGCCAGGAUGGGACCGCUCACUGUGGCCCCCAAGCCCACCUGCCCCAUUGCGGGGGCUGCAGCCAGAAUGGCCAGACCUACGGCAACGGGGAGGCCUUCUCCCCAGACGCCUGCACCACCUGCCGCUGUCUGGAAGGGACCAUCACCUGCACCCCGAAGCCAUGUCCAAGAGGACCCUGCCCUGAACCAGGAGCGUGCUGCCCACACUGUGAGCCAGGCUGUGAGUAUGAGGGGCAGCUUUAUGAGGAGGGGAGCACCUUCCUAUCCAGUUCCAACCCUUGUCUGCAGUGCACCUGCCUGAGGAGCCGAGCUCGCUGCAUGUCCCUGAAGUGCCCGCCCAGCCCCUGCCCACAGCCAGUCCUGAGGCCUGGGCACUGCUGCCCGACCUGCCAAGGCUGCACAGAAGGUGGCUCUCACUGGGAACAUGGCCAAGAGUGGACCACACCGGGGGACCCCUGCCGAAUCUGCCAGUGCCUGGAGGGUCACAUCCAGUGCCGCCAGCGAGAAUGUGCCAGCCUGUGUCCGUACCCAGCCCGGCCCCUCCCAGGCACCUGCUGCCCUGUGUGUGAUGGCUGUUUCCUAAACGGGCGGGAGCACCGCAGCGGGGAGCCCGUGGGCUCAGGGGACCCCUGCUCGCACUGCCGCUGCGCUAACGGGAGUGUCCAGUGUGAGUCUCUGCCCUGCCCGCCGGUGCCCUGCAGACACCCAGGCAAGAUCCCUGGGCAGUGCUGCCCUGUCUGCGAUGGCUGUGAGUACCAGGGACACCAGUAUCAGAGCCAGGAGACUUUCAGACUCCAAGAGCGGGGCCUCUGUGUCCGCUGCUCCUGCCAGGCUGGCGAGGUCUCCUGUGAGGAGCAGGAGUGCCCAGUCACUCCCUGUGCCCUGCCUGCCUCUGGUCGCCAGCUCUGCCCAGGUGUGUGUGAGAAGGGGAGGAGCAGCUGCUAUGGGCGCUGCCUCCGGGGGCUGCAAAUGGAGGGUGCUCCUUCCCUGGACGGCGUACGGGUUGCUACAUCCACUAGCCAUUCUACAGUGUCAGUGGGGAUGGUGAAGCUGGGGUCCCUGUGUCCUGGGAAGGACAGGGAUGAGUGGGAGGUGUGCAAGCUGCCAUAUGACAGCCCCCUUACUACAGCCUGUGUGCUGGAUGGAGAGGAGUUUGCUGAGGGAGUCCAGUGGGAGCCUGAUGGUCGGCCCUGCACCACCUGCGUCUGUCAAGAUGGGGUACCCAAGUGCGGGGCUGCGCUCUGCUCCCCAGCCCCCUGCCAGCACCCCACCCAGCCCCCUGGUGCCUGCUGCCCCAGCUGUGACAGCUGCACCUACCAUGGCCAAGUGUAUGCCAAUGGGCAGAACUUCACGGACGCAGACAGCCCUUGCCAUGUCUGCCGCUGCCAGGAUGGAACUGUGACAUGCUCCUUGGUUGACUGCCCUCUCACGACCUGUGCCAGGCCCCAGAGUGGACCGGGCCAGUGUUGCCCCAGGUGCCCAGACUGCAUCCUGGAAGAAGAGGUGUUUGUGGAUGGUGAGAGCUUCUCCCACCCCCGAGAUCCCUGCCAGGAGUGCCGAUGCCAGGAAGGCCAUGCCCGCUGCCAGCCUCGCGCCUGCCUCAAGGCCCCCUGUGCCCACCCACUGCCUGGGACCUGCUGCCCGAACAACUGUAGCGGCUGUGCCUUUGGCGGUAAAGAGUAUGCCAGCGGAGCGGACUUCCCCCACCCCUCUGACCCCUGCCGUCUGUGUCGCUGUCUGAGCGGCAACGUGCAGUGCCUGACCCGCCGCUGCUCGCCGCUGCCCUGUCCAGAGCCUGUCCUGCUGCCGGGAGACUGCUGCCCGCAGUGCCCGGCCCCCCCGGCCCCCGCCGGCUGCCCACGGCCCGGCGCGGCCCCCGCCCGCCACCAGGAGUACUUCUCCCCGCCCGGCGAUCCCUGCCGCCGCUGCCUCUGCCUCGACGGCUCCGUGUCCUGCCAUCGGCUGCCUUGCCCUCCCGCGCCCUGCGCGCACCCGCGCCAGGGUCCUUGCUGCCCCUCCUGCGACGGCUGCCUGUACCAGGGGAAGGAGUUUGCCAGCGGGGAGCGCUUCCCAUCGACCACUGCCGCCUGCCACCUCUGCCUUUGCUGGGAGGGCAGCGUGAGCUGCGAGCCCAAGGCAUGUGCCCCUGCACUGUGCCCCUUCCCUGCCAGGGGCGACUGCUGCCCUGACUGUGAUGGCUGUGAGUACCUGGGGGAGUCCUACCUGAGUAGCCAGGAGUUCCCAGAUCCCCGAGAACCCUGCAACCUGUGUACCUGCCUUGGAGGCUUCGUGACCUGCGGCCGCCGGCCCUGUGAACCUCCGGGCUGCAGCCACCCACUCAUCCCCUCUGGGCACUGCUGCCCGACCUGCCAGGGAUGCCACUACCAUGGCGUCACUGCUGCCUCCGGAGAGACCCUUCCUGACCCACUUGACCCUGCCUGUUCGCUCUGCACCUGCCAGGAAGGUUCCAUGCGCUGCCAGAAGAAGCCAUGUCCCCCAGCUCUCUGCCCCCACCCCUCUCCAGGACCCUGCUUCUGCCCUGUUUGCCACAGCUGCGUCUCUCAGGGCCGGGAGCACCAGGAUGGGGAGGAGUUUGAGGGAGCAGCAGGCAGCUGUGAAUGGUGUCGCUGUCAGGCUGGCCAGGUCAGCUGUGUGCGGCUGCGGUGCCCACCCCUUCCCUGCCAGCUCCAGGUCACCGAGCCGGGGAGCUGCUGCCCUCGCUGCAGAGGCUGCCUGGCUUAUGGGGAAGAGCACCCUGAAGGCAGUAGCUGGGUGCCCCCUGACAGUGCCUGCUCCUCCUGCGUGUGUCACGAGGGUGUCGUCACCUGUGCACGCAUCCAGUGCAUCAGCUCUUGUGCCCAGCCCCACCAGGGGCCCCAUGACUGCUGUCCUCGAUGCUCUGACUGUGAGCAUGAGGGCCGGAAGUACGAGCCUGGGGAAAGCUUCCAGCCUGGGGCAGACCCCUGUGAAGUGUGCAUCUGCCAGCCACAGCCUGAUGGGCCUCCCAGCCUUCGCUGUCACCGGCGGCAGUGUCCCAGCCUGGUGGGCUGCCCCCCUAGCCAGCUCCUGCUCCCUGGGCCCCAGCACUGCUGUCCGACCUGUGCCCAGGCUUUGAGUAACUGUUCAGAGGGCCUGCUGGGAUCUGAGCUAGCCCCACCAGACCCCUGCUACACGUGCCAGUGCCAGGACCUGACAUGGCUCUGCAUCCACCAGACCUGUCCUGAGCUCAGCUGUCCCCUCUCAGAGCGCCACACUCCCCCUGGGAGCUGCUGCCCCGUGUGCCAGGAAUGUGUGGUGGAGGCUGAGGGCCGGAGAGUGGCAGAUGGAGAGAGCUGGAGGGACCCCAGCAAUGCGUGCAUCACCUGCACCUGUCGUCGGGGCCAUGUGGAGUGCCACCUCGAGGAGUGCCAGGCCCUCUCCUGCCCCCAUGGCUGGGCAAAGGUGCCCCAGGCUGACAGCUGCUGUGAGCGAUGCCAAGCUCCCACCCAGUCCUGCGUGCACCAGGGCCGUGAGGUGGCCUCUGGAGAGCGCUGGACUGUGGACGCCUGCACCAGCUGCUCCUGCAUGGCGGGCACCGUGCGUUGCCAGAGCCGGCGCUGCUCACCGCUCUCGUGUGGCCCCGACAAGGCCCCUGCCCUGAGUCCUGGCAGCUGCUGCCCCCGCUGCCUGCCCCGGCCAGCUUCCUGCAUGGCCUUCGGAGACCCCCAUUACCGCACCUUCGACGGCCGCCUGCUGCACUUCCAGGGCAGUUGCAGCUAUGUGCUGGCCAAGGACUGCCACAGCGGGGACUUCAGUGUGCACGUGACCAAUGAUGACCGGGGCCGGAGCGGCGUGGCCUGGACCCAGGAGGUGGCGGUGCUGCUGGGAGACGUGGCCGUGCGGCUGCUGCAGGGCGGAGCAGUCACUGUGGAUGGGCGCCCAGUGGCCUUGCCCUUCCUGCAGGAGCCGCUGCUGUAUGUGGAGCUGCGAGGACACACUGUGAUCCUGCAUACCCAGCCCGGGCUCCAGGUGCUGUGGGACGGGCAGUCCCAGGUGGAGGUGAGCGUGCCUGGCUCCUACCAGGGCCGGACUUGUGGGCUCUGUGGGAACUUCAACGGCUUUGCCCAGGAUGAUCUGCAGGGCCCUGAGGGGCUGCUCCUGCCCACGGAGGCUGCGUUUGGGAAUAGCUGGCAGGUCCCAGAGGGGCUGGAGCCUGGCCGGCCCUGUUCUGCAGGCCGAGAGAUGGAUCCGUGCCGGGCAGCAGGUUACCGUGCCAGGCGUGAGGCCAAUGCCCGGUGUGGGGUGCUGAAGUCCUCCCCAUUCAGUCACUGCCAUGCUGUGGUGCCACCGGAGCCCUUCUUUGCCGCCUGUGUGUAUGACCUGUGUGCCUGUGGCCCUGGCUCCUCCGCUGAUGCCUGCCUCUGUGACGCCCUGGAAGCCUAUGCCAGUCACUGUCGCCAGGCAGGAGUGACACCUACCUGGCGAGGCCCCACGCUAUGUGGUGCAAGAGGGCUGCGGGUGUCCCCCGGGGCUGGAGCUGCCCCUUGUGCUGCUGCAGAUGGAGCUGAGCCGGUGGGCCCAGGAGCAGCUCCUGUGGGACUUGGAGCUGCUGACGGGUGUGGAGCUGGGCCUCUUCUGGCCACCCCAGGCCCAGUUUUUCGGUCCGAGGGGCCAGGCCCAGCAUGCAUGGAGCCAGCACUGUCAGCCAGGUGGUAGCAUGGGUGGAGACCCCGAGCAGCUGUUAAUGACUGUCUUGGUCAAAUCACCUGUGUGGUGAUACCUGGAAGCCUUUCCAUGUGACCGCCGAGUGGGAGGAAAGCAGCCUGGCAGGGCCCCAGAGAGCAAAGGCAAUGAAGUGUGCCGCUGAGACACAGGCGCUGACCUCUCCCUCCAGGGCUGCAGCUGGGCUGAGACUCCAGGAGGGGAUGCUGUGGUGACUGGGCCCAGAACAGAGUGGGGAACUGGGAAUGUGGGUCCCAGUCCUGGCUCAGCCAGCAGCUGUCUGAGUCACUUUGGGCAGGUUAGUAACCCUCUCUGGGCCAAGGCACCCUCCGCUGUAGCAGGAGCGGGUGUUCGUGGUGCAACUUAGGAAGGGUUCAGCGGACGUUGCUGGCAAGAACUGUGGUCUCAUCUGAGACUCAAAUGGGAGGAGGGAUCCGUUUCUAAGCUCCUUUGCGUGGAGGGGAAGUGGCGGGCACAGAGGGUAUGAAUUCCAGGAGUCAGGGAUCAUUUAGGGGCCAUCUUAAAGGCUGGCUGCCACACUGGGGGAUGGAGCCAUGUGGACUAGGUUGCCCCCAACCCUUCCAGAAUUCUAGGCUGCACCCUCUACCCCAGGACAGGGACUCCCUGAGGCAGAACCAUCAGCUCCUGGAAGGGUGAGUCUCCCUGGGGAAUCCUGCCUUUCCCUCUGUGAACUGGGCUCUUUCUCUGUCACCUUCUGCAGUCCUGCCAGUGCCCUUCGUUAUGCCUCCUGGGCUCUUAGUUGCACCCGUGGUUGCCCCACGGCCCCUGGAAAGGUUAAUCUCCAAAUUCCAGCUCCCAGGAUCUGGUGAUGGGGGAGGAGGGAGGGCACUGGGGGCGGCCACCUGGGACUCAAGUGUUUGUAUGCUGGGGUGGGGUCUCUGGAGACUGGCAGGCAGACUCCCUCCCAUUCCAGAGCCCAUGGGCCCAGAGAGGUGCAUCAGAGGCAGCCCUUGAACUCCUGCAGGGGGCAGGCAGGAGACCCAUCAUCGGCCCCAGAUCUGGGUGAAGCCGGGAGUGGUGCAGGCCAAGGGUGGGAGAGCCCUGGAGGACAUGCAGAGCCCACACGCGGCUCCUUACAAGAGCUGAACCCCACUACCAGGAGGAGCUUUGGGGUGCCAGGCAGCUCAGAGUACAAGGACCUGGCCCAGAGGGAAGAGAGGAGUGAGGCAGAACCUGAGACCCAGGAAAGACAGCUCACUCCAGGGACCCCUGGGCCGGGGGACCUGCCAUCCCAAAACCUGCCUUCCCAAGAUGCCCUUGAAGGACUGGGCUGGGACCCGCACCUGGGCCAGGAGAGAGCAGAACUUCAAAGACCGCCAAGGAUGGACACCCCUCAGAGUCUGAGAGAGGAGGACCCUC